rnacentral:rRNA from 1 species
UCAUAUGCUUGUCUCAAAGCUUAAGCCAUGCAAGUGUAAGUUCACGCCACGCAUUAGAACGGGCGAAACCGCGAAUGGCUCAGGAACCGGACCUAAUCCUCGGGACCGUAAUCCUCCUCGGAGGCGAUGGAUAACUGUGGCAAUUCUAGAGCUAAUACAUGUGACACAGGCCGCGAUCGGUCGUCGCUCCGUGGUCGCCUCGCCUUCUUGCGCGCUGGCACCCCGCGACGGCCGUCUUGGGUCGCGGCGCUACAUAUUAGACUGAGACCGAUGCGCGAUUUCCGACCUCUCGUUCGUGYGUUCGCUCGGGUUUCGGCUCGGGUYGUUCGYGCGUUCGGGGUCAAAGGCCGGCGCGCUCCGCUUUGGUGACUCUGGAUAACUCACUGGUCGAUCGCACGGGCUUCCACGCCCGGCGACGGGUCCCCCGAGGGUCCGCCCUAUCAACUGUCGACGGUCGGUUAAGUGCCUACCGUGGUUACUACGGGUAACGGGGAAUCGGGGUUCGAUUCCGGAGAGGGAGCAUGCGAAACGGCUACCACAUCCAAGGAAGGCAGCAGGCGCGCAAAUUACCCACUCCCGGCACGGGGAGGUAGUGACGAAAAAUAACGACGCGGGACUCUGUCGAGGCCCCGCGAUCGGAAUGAGUACACUUCAAAUCCGUUAACGAGGACCAACCGGAGGGCAAGUCUGGUGCCAGCAGCCGCGGUAAUUCCAGCUCCGGUAGCGUAUAUUAAAGUUGUUGCGGUUAAAAAGCUCGUAGUCCGAACUCGGGUUCGUGGUCGCUCACGCGGCCCCGGGGCGUCGGCGCCAUUGUCCAUUGUUGACUUUGGUCGUCCGUACGCAUUCCCGGCCCUUUCCGCCGGUGUCAAUCGCUACAUAGACGGCUGCGGGUCAGCUGGUGGUGGGUGCGGCGUUGGUGUCGGUUGGUGGCGCGGGGAAAAAAGGUUGCGUUCGCGCUCCUCUAACYUCGUGUCGUCCGGCCUUCAUCGCGUCCGGGCUCUCGGGCUCCCCGUCCGYCACGCCCCCGUUUCGCCGUCGGUGAUUUCUCCUCCAAGGGUGCUCUUAACCGAGUGUCCGCGGCGGCCGGUACGUUCACUUUGAAAAAAUUAGAGUGCUCAGAGCGGGCUGUUCAAGCUUGCAUACGAUAAGCAUGGAAUGAUGGAAGAGGGCCUCGUCUACGUCUGUCGGUCUCCGUCUACGGCGAGGCAAUGAUCGAAGGGAGCGGUCGGGGCCACUCGUAUUGCGACGUUAGAGGUGAAAUUCUUGGAUCGUCGCAAGACGAACUGCAGCGAUGGCGUGUGGCAAGCACGUUUUCCUCGAUCAAGAGCGAAAGUCGGAGGUUCGAAGACGAUCAGAUACCGUCGUAGUUCCGACCGUAAACGAUGCCGACCGGCGAUCCGCCGGCGUUCGCUUCCAUGACCCGGCGGGUAGCCUGCGGGAAACCAGAGUUCGGUUCCGGGGGGAGUAUGGUUGCAAAGCUGAAACUUAAAGGAAUUGACGGAAGGGCACCACCAGGAGUGGAGCCUGCGGCUUAAUUUGACUCAACACGGGAAAACUCACCCGGUCCGGACACCGGUAGGAUUGACAGAUCGAUAGCUCUUUCUCGAUUCGGUGGGUGGUGGUGCAUGGCCGUUCUUAGUUGGUGGAGCGAUCCGUCUGGUUGAUUCCGAUAACGAACGAGACUCCGGCCUGCUAACUAGUGCGCCGAUGUGAGUGCGGCCCUUCGCUGGUCGUGUGCGGGCUCGGGGGCGCUCGAUUUUUGAUCGUCGUCUUUCUCGUGUCCGGGUCGGUUUCUCACGCACUUCUUAGAGGGACGGGUGGCAGAAAGCCACACGAGGCGGAGCAAUAACAGGUCUGUGAUGCCCUUAGAUGUCCGGGGCCGCACGCGCGCUACACUGGAGGUAUCAGCGGGGACUUCGCCCCGGCCCGAGAGGGUCGGGAAACCUCUCAACCACCUCCCGUGAUAGGGAUCGGGGCCUGUAACCAACCCCGUGAACGAGGAAUUCCCGGUAGGCGCGGGUCAACAGCCCGCGUCGAUCACGUCCCUGCCCUUUGUACACACCGCCCGUCGCUACUACCGAUCGAACGGUCCGGUGAGGUCCUCGGAUCUGGCCGACGACGCCGCCGGGCGAACGGCUCCUCGCGGGUCGCCAGCCUCGGCGUUCGAUGCCUGGAGAAGACGACCGAACCCGAUCGUUUAGAGGAAGUAAAAGUCGUAACAAGGUUUCC